rnacentral:rRNA from 1 species
AGCGAACGCUGGCGGCAGGCUUAACACAUGCAAGUCGAACGGUCCUUCGGGAUAGUGGCGGACGGGUGAGUAACACGUGGGAACGUACCCUUAGGUUCGGAACAACACAGGGAAACUUGUGCUAAUACCGGAUAAGCCCUUCGGGGGAAAGAUUUAUCGCCUUUGGAGCGGCCCGCGUCUGAUUAGCUUGUUGGUGAGGUAAUGGCUCACCAAGGAUACGAUCAGUAGCUGGUCUGAGAGGAUGGCCAGCCACACUGGGACGGAGACACGGCCCAGACUCCUACGGGAGGCAGCAGUGGGGAAUGUUGGGCAAUGGGCGAAAGCCUGACGCAGCCAUGCCGCGUGGAUGAUGAAGGUCUUAGGAUUGUAAAAUCCUUUCACCGGGGACGAUAAUGACGGUACCCGGAGAAGAAGCCCCGGCUAACUUCGUGCCAGCCGCCGCAGUAA